rnacentral:rRNA from 1 species
UACGUAGGGGGCAAGCGUUGUCCGGAAUGACUGGGCGUAAAGGGAGUGUAGGCGGCUCAUCAAGUUAGAUGUGAAAUCCCGCGGCUUAACCGCGGAACUGCAUCUAAAACUGGUAAGCUGGAGUGCAGGAGAGGUGAGUGGAAUUCCUAGUGUAGCGGUGGAAUGCGUAGAUAUUAGGAGGAACACCGAUUGCGAAGGCAUCUCACGAAUCCGCGAUUGACGCUGAUGCACGAAAGCGUGGGUAUCAAACAGG